rnacentral:rRNA from 1 species
UGUCUCCGUCACACAACUCUGUAUGCAUCCCAUCUCAUUUUGGAAAUUAAGGAGGGUUGGGCCUGGUUGGUACUUGGAUGGGAGACAGAGUCCAAGUUUGGUGACUU